rnacentral:misc_RNA from 1 species
GGAGUAGAUAACUUUAUUACAGAUAUGAGUUGGAUAGAUGAUUUCAGUUUCCAGCAAGUUAUAAUUGUGCACCAAGAACAGGGGCUCAUGCACGUUUAAAAUGAGGGAGGUUUGGAAUACCAUCUAAUCCUUUGGACCUGAAGAAGGCCAAGUACUCAGCAAUAUGAGUUUCCCUGUAUAUGGGUGGAUUGCCAGAUAGAAGUUCCUGUACUGCUCCAUAGGGUUUAAAUUUAUUUGCUGUACUUGGAUAGAAAAAGCAUGCUAUUGAAGUCCUGGGCCUGAUCCCUCCAGCUAAUACUCUAUGCUCCACGCUCCUGAACUUGUCAUUGCUGAUAAGCUGCAUGAAGUCCCCUAUGUUUACUACAAGAGCUCCUUCUUCAGGAGGCACAUCAACCCAUUGAUUUUGAUGAAGAACUUGGAGUCCACCUGUGUUGUCUUGCAGCAGUAUGGUGAGAAAAGAAGGGUCUGUAUGCUUGGUGGUGCCAAGGGUCAAGUCUGGCUCAGGGCAAAUGGGGUAGUAGUGGCACACCAAAGAUUCAGUUUCCAUGCACUCUAACUCUGAAAGGUAGUCUCUGCGAAGCCCUAGUGCCUCUGAUAAUAGUUCACUUAUUGUCUUACUCAUCUUUAUCACGUGCUUUAUGUAUUCACUCACAGCUUCUCUGCAUAUCUGAGGAUAGAGGCAGGGGUCUAGUUCUCCGUCCUGAAAAUCAAAUGCUAUGGUAUCUCUCCAGUUUGCUGGUGAUUUAUUAACAAGGAGAUCUCCAUUGCAGAAGAACCUCACUGGGCGCUUAGAGUCUCGAGAGUACCACUCCAUCUUCACCUCCUGGGGUUGCUCGUGGAAUCGUUUAACACUUGCCAACAUCUCAUCCAGAACAUUAACUGGAAUUCCAUGAUUAAUCAUUUGAAAGAAACCCCAUGUUUCUGAUGCAUUUCUAAUCUCAUUAAUCACCUUAAGCCGCCGUCCACAUGUUUCAAUGCCUUCCAAGUCUAUCACCGGGACCUGCUGGAGGUUGCUACUGCUAUAACUUGUGUUAGAUGAUGAUGAUCUCUGCACGUUCUCUGGUGGGUGGACAAAAAAAGUAGGGAUCUUGGUCACACCAGAGUCAACUAGUCCUUUAACACCAGCUCUAGUGUCAUCAAAUGCCUUCACUUGCUUAGCUUUGUUGUAUAUGGACUCAUCAUCUUGAUCACGGGGAACUGAAUUUGCAGCAGUGGAAAUGAUCACUUCCAUGCCUUCAAAUGAUGGGCAGUGGUGUAUGGGCGAGAGAGACCUGCGUCUAAAUAUAAAGCAAUUAAUGGUGGCCAUUAAUUCAAACAUAAGGGAGAAAAAAAAAAAA